CUCUCAGCCCUUGAAUUUGCACCAAUAUGCCCCCACUUUGACCCAUGCUUUCAUAUUUCUGCCAAUUACCCCCUUUUCUUAGCGUUUUGUUCUCUUCGAGCUUCCUUACUUGGCAAUUCGCUGUAGCACUGUCCAACACUUGUCAGCUCUAUUUACUCUCUUUGUUUCGGUUGAUUCAGAUUUUAACAAGCUUAUCAAUAAGAUCUUUAUAUAUAUAAAACAUUAUUAUUAUAAAAAUGAAUUUAUUUAAAUUUCAACUUCAGACUCAAUUGUUUAUAGUAAGGAGAAUUUUCAAGACUAAUUAAAAUAACUACUGAAGCCAUAAUUUGAGAAACGAUUGAACUGAAAUUGAGUUUCUCAAAUGAAAGCAUAGUGAUUUAAACAUGCUAGUAUCUUGCUUUCACACUCUUUACAAUUGUGAAAAAAGAAGUUGAAAGUAUAGAGCAAGCAAAAGCAAAUCCUGUCCAAACCUGGUGAUAGAGUGGUGAGCCUCUGGGCUACCGAUUUUAUAGGGAAGACAAAGUUGAGUAGGAUCGGUUGUGGUAUGGGUCGAUGCAAUGGCUACAAUUCGUACUAAAGGCUAAAGCAAGAAGCAAAGCCACGCUUAGCCCAAAAUCUUCUUCUUCACCUACACUAAACACACACUAGUAAUUAUUUUGUCUUGAGUUGCGUGCUGAUACAUGUAGAAACCAGAAACCAACAACAAAAUCACAAUCCUACCCAUAGUUUCUUCUUUUAUCUGUAGAGACAUGAGAAAGAUAUGAAACCAUGAGAUGCAUGGAGGGCUCACAAAAGAGCAAUCUAUUCGCCCUAAGAAUAGGGUAACUUCCCC
rnacentral:lncRNA from 1 species